GGGGUGGUAGUUCAGUUGGGAGAACAUCCGCUUGGCGUGCGGAAGGUCGGGGGUUCAACUCCCCUCCACUCCA
rnacentral:tRNA from 1 species